rnacentral:rRNA from 1 species
AGCCCAGAGCCUGAAUCAGUGUGUGUGUUAGUGGAAGCGUCUGGAAAGGCGCGCGAUACAGGGUGACAGCCCCGUACACAAAAAUGCACAUGCUGUGAGCUCGAUGAGUAGGGCGGGACACGUGGUAUCCUGUCUGAAUAUGGGGGGACCAUCCUCCAAGGCUAAAUACUCCUGACUGACCGAUAGUGAACCAGUACCGUGAGGGAAAGGCGAAAAGAACCCCGGCGAGGGGAGUGAAAAAGAACCUGAAACCGUGUACGUACAAGCAGUGGGAGCCUCUUUAUGGGGUGACUGCGUACCUUUUGUAUAAUGGGUCAGCGACUUAUAUUCUGUAGCAAGGUUAACCGAAUAGGGGAGCCGAAGGGAAACCGAGUCUUAACUGGGCGUUAAGUUGCAGGGUAUAGACCCGAAACCCGGUGAUCUAGCCAUGGGCAGGUUGAAGGUUGGGUAACACUAACUGGAGGACCGAACCGACUAAUGUUGAAAAAUUAGCGGAUGACUUGUGGCUGGGGGUGAAAGGCCAAUCAAACCGGGAGAUAGCUGGUUCUCCCCGAAAGCUAUUUAGGUAGCGCCUCGUGAAUUCAUCUCCGGGGGUAGAGCACUGUUUCGGCAAGGGGGUCAUCCCGACUUACCAACCCGAUGCAAACUGCGAAUACCGGAGAAUGUUAUCACGGGAGACACACGGCGGGUGCUAACGUCCGUCGUGAAGAGGGAAACAACCCAGACCGCCAGCUAAGGUCCCAAAGUCAUGGUUAAGUGGGAAACGAUGUGGGAAGGCCCAGACAGCCAGGAUGUUGGCUUAGAAGCAGCCAUCAUUUAAAGAAAGCGUAAUAGCUCACUGGUCGAGUCGGCCUGCGCGGAAGAUGUAACGGGGCUAAACCAUGCACCGAAGCUGCGGCAGCGACGCUUAUGCGUUGUUGGGUAGGGGAGCGUUCUGUAAGCCUGCGAAGGUGUACUGUGAGGUAUGCUGGAGGUAUCAGAAGUGCGAAUGCUGACAUAAGUAACGAUAAAGCGGGUGAAAAGCCCGCUCGCCGGAAGACC